UCCGGCAUAGCUCAGUUGGUAGUAGCGCAUGACUGUUAAUCAUGAUGUCGUAGGUUCGAAUCCUACUGCCGGAG
rnacentral:tRNA from 1 species